UUGUUUGCUUGUUCGUUCCUUUGCGCCUACUAUCAGGUUCAUAUUUUCUGAUAACGCGUCAAUGGGUCGAAAGGUAUGUAAUUAUAUGACGCUCGUCGUACUGCUCACUUUCGAUACUCCCUGACAUCGUUGUUAUAGCCUUUACCUUUCUCGAACCAUUCCUGUUGAGCGUCAGUUGCUAGCAAGUGCUCUAUAGACGAGGGCUGCUAGCAGCAAGGAAAGCCGUUUGGUCAAUUCUGUCCCGUACGGCCUUGUUUCAUGGGAUUGUAUUUGGUCUCUAUUCUUUCGUUAGCUACAACAAACGUUACGCUGGCCUACCAGCACAACGAUAGCGCCACGAGUACUAGAGAAUUCCAACGGCCAUUGAGACCGGUCGUCGCUGACAUCUGAAUCACUUCACAGCACAUCAGUUCAUUGGGCGCGGUAUAAACUGUUGGCUACGACGUCGUAAAAUUGUAAGUCAGUUUGUCAGGCAGCCAGCCUUUUGCCCUAAUCAGCGGCUCUGAUGCCCUCGGCCUAUACCUCCUUAGACGAUUUGCAUUUACUUCACAGCGCCCCCUUCUCCCCUCACACAGCGUCGUCAUUUCAGCCUCACCAAUGUACCUUUGGCCAUUUGGCGUUUAGCUGGAUCGCUACCGCCGCCGCUAACUGCCCCUCGCAUUGUUUUGGCACAGUGAACGUCAUAAUGACGCCAAAGACAAGCAGGCUUUAAUAACGACGAUUCUGCUGAUGCUUCUGCUUUGCUGUUGUUGUUGUUAAUGGGUGCAGUUGACGUCUGCUCAAUUCAGUUCUGUUGUUAAAUCGCUGCUUAUGAACCGCAAAGCACUCACGUCGAAGAAGUUACCAAAGCGGAGAGAUAUGAAAGAAAGGAAAGGAGCAACACGGGAUGGCUGGGUUGGCGAGGACUGUGAAAGCUAUGGACAUUUCCGGGCUACGUAAGCAGAUGAGCGGAUCCCGGAGAAGGAGGGCUUUGGAACAGAUUUUCUUGAGUUUGACGUCAGAUAUGGAGAUAGAUACCCUAAACUACAAAAUCUGCAAAAUCCUGUUCAUCGGGUUGGCGGAACUUUUGCGAGUUUCUUAAUCAGAGAUGAAAUACACCUACAACUAUGACACAGCGUCUAGCUCCGCAUUACGGAAGAGUGCCGUUGUAAAGAUAGUCAUGAAGGUACAUCCACCGUCAAAAACCUCUCGUUCAAGCCGACUAUUUUGGCAACUUUCGACGCCGCUGACGUGACGACAGGCCGCGCAAAUGCCCAGGUGCUUUACAACAGCAUCAGCGAUAACAACAAUAAAUGAAGACGCAACAAGAAAGCGGUAUCGACUGC